rnacentral:rRNA from 1 species
AUGGGGUCCGGUUCCAAGGCUGCUUCAAGGAAGUCGACGGCGUCGUGGUCGUCGUCGUCCUCGUGGAGGUCACUCCUCCACGAUUGCCUCGGCGGGACCAUGGCGGCUGGGGAGAACGUCCCGGCAAGCGACGGGUUGGCGGAGCAGCCACUGCCGAUCGUCACGAACCACGACCUGCCGCUGGCGGCGUCCAACUCCAACCUGCACGCCUUCACGUUCGCGGAGCUGAGCGCGGCGACCGAGGGGUUCGCCUGCUGCAACCAGAUCGGCAGCGGCGAGUUCGGGACGGCGUACAGGGGAUUCAUCGUGGACGGUGUCCGGCCGGGGCUCCCCGCGCAGCUCGUCGCCGUCAAGCGGACACGGUGGCGGGUCGACGACUACGUCGAGGGAAUGGUGAAGGAGGCGAUGUUCCUUGGGGAGGUGCAGCUGCGGCAUCCCUGCCUGGUGAAGAUGAUCGGCUACUGCUGUGAGGAGGAGCACAGGCUCCUGGUCUACGAGUUCAUGGCCCAUGGCAGCUUGGACGACUACUUCUUCAAGCCUUUUUAUCGUCCUUUGCUGCCAUGGUCAACCAGACUAAGCAUUGUCUUAGCUACGGCGAAAGGGCUGGUGUCCCUCCACAGCGCCGAGAAGCCCUUGAUCUGCGGCGAAUUCAAUGCCUCCGACAUCCUACUGGACUCUGAUAACAAUGCCAAGAUCUCGCUCUCGGGCCUGAGGCUCGACACGAGAGCGAGCGACGGCUCGGUCACCACCACGCGCUCGCGCCUAGGAACUCCGCGCGGCAGCGCACCAGAGUACGUCAUGUCCGGCCAUCUCACCACGAAAUGCGACGUGUACAGCUUCGGGGUGGUGUUGUUGGAGAUUCUGAUCACAGGGAUGAAGUGGAUAGACAUGAAAAGACCAGUCAAGGAGGAGCGGGACCUGCUGGAGCACGCGCGGCCGAAUCUCGAAGACCCGGUUAAACUGGCAGGGAUCAUGGAUAAAGCGUUGAAGGGCAUCUACCCAGUGGCAGCUGCACACAAGGCUGCCCUGGUCACAUACAAGUGUCUCCAUGUCAAACCCGAGGACAGGCCAGACAUGUCGGACGUCAUGAAGACGCUGGAUCUGCUUACCGACGCUGCCGUCAAGGAGGAUCAGUUGCCGGUGCCGGCGCCUGUGUCGCCCAACUCCAACCUACACAGGUUCACCUUCGCGGAGCUGACCGCCGCGACUGGAGGGUUCGCCUCAGGAAACAAAAUCGGCAGCGGCAGUUUCGGGACGGUGUACAGGGGAUCCCUCGAGGACGGCAUCCGACCGGGGCUCCGAGCGCAGCCCGUCGCCGUCAAGAGAGCGCGAGCCGACGACUACCACUCCGAGGAACAUCUGAAAGAUUCCAUAUUCCUGGGGGAGCUGCAGCCGCGGCAGCCGAGCCUGGUGAAGAUGAUCGGCUACUGCUACGAGGGGCUGCACAGGCUUCUCGUCUACGAGCUAAUGGGCCAUGGCAGCUUGGCAAACUACCUCUCCAAUGAUAUCCGUGUUGUGUUGUCAUGGUCAACACGGUUAAGCAUUGCUCUAGCUACCGCGAAAGGGUUGUUGUCCCUCCAUGGUGAAGAGAAGCCAUUGAUCUCCGCCAAAUUUAACGCCUCCAACAUCUUACUAGACUCGUAUAACAAUGUCAAGCUAUCAGACCUGUGGUUUGCCAAAAAAUACGGGAAAGGUGACGAUCCUAACGUGUACACACUCAUAACAAGUGGGUACGGCUCUGCGCCGGAGUACGUCAUGUCCGGGGACUUCACCAAAAAGAGCGACGUGUACUGCUUUGGAGUGGUGUUACUGGAGAUCCUAACCGGGCAGAGGUUGGCCUGGUUGGCCUGUGCUUCAGAACAGUACCCGCGGAACCUACGACCACGUCUGAGAGACCCGCUCAAGCUAGGGAGGAUCAUGGACCCUGUGUUGAAAGACAUUUACCCGGUGGCAGUGGCACAUGAUGCUUGCAUGGUCGCGUAUAGGUGCCUUCACGCAAGCCCCGGGAAACGUCCAAGCAUGUUGGCUGUUGUGGAGGCGCUUGAUUUGCUUGUUGGUGUCACCAUCGUGGAUGAGGUUGAUGUUGGUCAGACAAGCACAAGGCCGUGA